AAAGAGAAUGAAUCAGAAAAAGAAGGGCAAAGCAACCAAUGGGUAUGUAAGAGGUUGGGUUGUGUAAUGAAAUUGAAAUUGUCCACUAAAUGCUUUUCCUUCUUAAUGGGAAUGGGAAAUUAUAUUAGUAUCUCUCUCUCUCUCUAUGGGUUUGAACCGUGAAUUGGAGUAUCUACUCUCCAAUCACAUCACAUGUAUUUAUAAGGGGAGUGGAGUUGUAUGCUAUAGGUCAAUACUAUUACA
rnacentral:lncRNA from 1 species